AUACGUAGGGUGCGAGCGUUGUCCGGAAUUACUGGGCGUAAAGAGCUCGUAGGUGGUUUGUCGCGUCGUCUGUGAAAUUCCGGGGCUUAACUCCGGGCGUGCAGGCGAUACGGGCAUAACUUGAGUACUGUAGGGGAGACUGGAAUUCCUGGUGUAGCGGUGAAAUGCGCAGAUAUCAGGAGGAACACCGGGGGCGAAGGGGGGUCUCUGGGCAGUAACUGACGCUGAGGAGCGAAAGCAUGGGUAGCGAACAGGAUUAGAUGCCCUGGUAGUCCAUGCCGUAAACGGUGGGCGCUAGGUGUAGGGGUCUUCCACGACUUCUGUGCCGUAGCUAACGCAUUAAGCGCCCAGCCUGGGGAGUACGGCCGCAAGGCUAAAACUCAAAUGAAUUGACGGGG
rnacentral:rRNA from 1 species